rnacentral:rRNA from 1 species
ACAAAAAGUAAGUAAGGGCACAUGGCGGAUGCCUUGGCUCUCGGAGGCGAUGAAGGACGUGAUAAGCUGCGAUAAGCUGCGGGUAGGUGCAANNNNNNNNNNGUAGGUGCAAAUGACCUUUGAUCCGCGGAUUUCCGAAUGGGACAACCCGGUACCUUGAAGAGGUACCAUUCCACAAUGUGGAAGGCUAACGCAGGGAACUGAAACAUCUUAGUACCUGCAGGAAAAGAAAAUAAAUAAUGAUUCCCCCAGUAGUGGCGAGCGAACGGGGAACAGCCCAAACCACCCAUGUUACGGCAUGUGUGGGGUUGUAGGACCACGUCGUGGCAAGAAAGUUGGUGAGCAGAAUGUUCUGGAAAGUACAGCCAUAGAGCA